GGUGAGGUGAGGUAGUAGGUUGUAAAGUUGUAGGGUGUCAUUUGUUUACACCCGAUUUGGAGAUAACUGUACAACCUAUUGCCUUC
ensembl:miRNA pma-let-7d pma-let-7d